GACGAACGCUGGCGGCGUGCUUAACACAUGCAAGUCGAACGGAAAGGCCCUGCUUUUGUGGGGUGCUCGAGUGGCGAACGGGUGAGUAACACGUGAGUAACCUGCCCUUGACUUUGGGAUAACUUCAGGAAACUGGGGCUAAUACCGGAUAGGAGCUCCUGCUGCAUGGUGGGGGUUGGAAAGUUUCGGCGGUUGGGGAUGGACUUGCGGCUUAUCAGCUUGUUGGUGGGGUAGUGGCUUACCAAGGCUUUGACGGGUAGCCGGCCUGAGAGGGUGACCGGCUACAUUGUGACUGAGAUACGGCCCAGACUGCUACGGGAGGCAGCAGUGGCGAAUAUUGCACAAUGGGCGGAAGCCUGAUGCAGCAACGCCGCGUGCGGGAUGACGGCCUUCGGGUUGUAAACCGCUUUCGCCUGUGACGAAGCGUGAGUGACGGUAAUGGGUAAAGAAGCACCGGCUAACUACGUG
rnacentral:rRNA from 1 species